GCUGGUGCGGGUGCGUGCGUGAGCGUGCGCGUCCCCGCGGUCUCUGUCGGUGUCGCUCCCGCGCCGCCCUCCGCCGCCGCCGCCGCAGUCCGGGUCCCCGAGGCGCAGCCCUCGCCGAGGAGCGCGUCGGCCGCUGCCCACCUGCGCCGCGGAGCGAGGAGCGAGGAGCGGGGCCGCGGGCCGGGGGCGGGAGCGCUGCAGAUUAGUCUAACAUGGCAGACCAGAGGCAGCGCUCACUGUCUACCUCCGGGGAAUCACUGUACCACGUGCUUGGGCUGGACAAGAACGCAACCUCAGACGACAUUAAGAAGUCCUAUCGGAAACUUGCCUUGAAAUACCACCCCGACAAGAACCCCGACAACCCUGAGGCUGCAGACAAGUUCAAGGAGAUCAACAACGCCCACGCCAUCCUGACCGAUGCCACCAAGAGGAACAUCUACGACAAGUACGGCUCCCUGGGCCUCUACGUGGCGGAGCAGUUCGGGGAGGAGAACGUGAACACUUACUUCGUGCUUUCCAGUUGGUGGGCAAAGGCCCUCUUUGUGUUCUGCGGGCUCCUGACCUGCUGCUACUGCUGCUGCUGUCUGUGCUGCUGCUUCAACUGCUGCUGUGGCAAGUGCAAGCCCAAGCCCCCCGAGGGCGAGGAGACCACCUUCUACGUGUCCCCGGAGGACCUGGAGGCCCAGCUGCAGUCCGACGAGAGGGGAGGGCACUGACUCUGUGCUGGGAGUGUUUGUGUGCAGCUGGGCCUGUUGAGGUGUGAACGUGGACACGGAGAGGCCGCCGACACGCCCAUCGUGAUCCAGCCGGCGUCCGCCACAGAGACCACCCAGCUCACGGCUGACUCCCACCCCAGCUACCACACCGACGGGUUCAACUAGCUCAGCAGCGCCGCGGCUGGAGGGACGUGUCAGCCCGGCCGCCGCAGCCUUGGCGUCACGGACUGUGGCGGUGGCGACGGGAGGCGCCGUUCCGGCCAUGAGGACCCCGUGUGCCCCCGCCCUGCGUGCCGCCGCCUGCAGAGUGCGGCCGCCUGCAGUAUUUAAAGCCGUUCCGCUACCGUCUCCUUUUCCCUUCCGUGUUUCAGUAGCAUGUACGGGGUCACGUUUCAUGUCGUCUGUGUAGUGGUUGUCCCACGGCCCUGGCCCUGACGGGACAGGCUCAGCACGUGUGGGCGCCGUGGCCCGGGCUCCCGGCUGUGCUGGGGCAGUGCUGCCCCUCCCCAUGCCCACCCGGGCCUCGGAGCCCCUGCAGAGGACGGGGGUCAGGACAGUGCUCGGGGACAGCCCCGCCCAGCGUCCAGCGUCGUGCGGACCUGGGACAGUGUGUGCCGCCGCCCCUACCCAUGCGUUCCCGUCGGGUGCCAGCCGCACAGGAUCUGUUCGCCUCUGUUUCCUUCACCUUGUGGUAGGGUUUUUCUGGGGGAAAAUGUGUUGUGGAAAGUGUAGGAAGAUGCCCUUUUGAUACUGGAACCAAGCCCUCUGUACAGUGCUCUCGCUGUAGGUUCCCAGGUUAUGACCGGAAGCUUCUGUCCCUGCAGGUGUGUGCCGUGUCCCUCCCUGCGUUAACCUGCGCUCCCCCCGGCCCUGGGCUGGGACCACAUUCCCACAGCCCCCCUGCUGUCCUCUGCAUCCUCCACAUUCCUUCAGGUCUGCAUGUCCUUCUUGCAAUCCUUCCUGGGUCUUCCAGGCCCACAAAUGGCAGAACCAGCCCAGACCCAUCUAAAUGGGUCGAGAUUUCAGGGUUGCUGAUGGGGAGCCUCUUUAGAAGUCUCUGGAAAGAAAGCCUCAGGGGUGACCUAGUACUUACUCAUGGGCUGCCCCCAGAACCCCUUUUUCAUGCUUCCCAGAUAUUCCACGCACCCUCUUUCCUUUGCCUUCCCCUCUUGGUGGCCAUCGACGUUCCUGGAGGACGGACCACUGCGUCCUCCUGCCCUGUGCCCUUGGGGACCAGCCACCAGCUCGCAGAGCCCCUCAGUCCCAGAGGUGGUGGGGUGCCCUGCCAGGCGGGAGCCGAGGACGUGGGCAGCGGGUUCUGCGCUGCUCGCUGGGCCUGGCCUCUGCUGCAUGGACCUGACGGCUGUCGCUUGAGAGGACGGGGGCCAGGGGGGUGCACCCCAGAAAGCGGUCCCAGAGCCCAGUCUUCCCGCACGCAUCACCCUGCCCUUCCCGUCCUGCCAGGGCCCAGACGAGGGUCGGUUCUGUUGACCAGGAAGUGGCCGGAAGGCACGGGGGUUGGGUGGGAAGGAGCUGCUGGGUCCAGCCUGGCGCUGGCUGGAGCCCGCCGUGCUGUGAGCAGUGCCGGUUCAAUUGUGGUGACUCCAGGCUGGUCCUCGGGCAUCUUGCUUGUCCCAUUCUGUUGUUUCUCGCUAUUAAGAUGAUCACGAAGGCCCUCUGUGAGCGGGAGACGUGCUGGGAUCCUGGAGACAAUCUUACUUGGUGGGUCCUGGAGGCGGAUGGGCAGCACCUUGUGCUGACUCAGAAACACAGCAGAGAAUUGGGCUCGAGAUGCUGUGAUGAACCUUUGUAGUUUUUCUGGAUAUAACAAAUGAGUAGAAUGGCCAAAAACCACAUUCAGAACUCAGACUCGUGCUCCCCUUGAGGUAGAAACCUCACACUCACCAGUGCUGUGGUGCUUUGGCAGUGGGGCUGGGGGCCUGGCAGCUCGGCCGGGCGGGGAGGGCCAGGGCCCACCUGGUGCCCUCCGUCCGGCGAGAGCUUUUAGCCACCAGCAGCUCGAAGGCCCUUUUCACGUGGGGCAAAGUGAGUCACUCGCCAGGCUUGUUUUCCAGUGACAGAAUCGCACAGGUCAUUACGGAGAACUGGAAGGAGGGUGGCGUGGUAGGAGGGGCCACGGCGCCAGGUUUGGGGAGCCCAGUGUCUUCUCUGUAGAAUUUGUAAAAACUAAAUAAAUGAUGAUGAUCAUGA